UGAGGAAUUUUGCUCAAUGGGGGAAACCCUGAAGCAGCGACGCCGCGUGGACGAAGAAGGCCUUCGGGUUGUAAAGUCCUGUCAGUAGGGACGAUAAUGACGGUACCUGCUGAGGAAGCUCCGGCUGACUCCGUGCCAGCAGCCGCGGUAAGACGGAGGGAGCAAGCGUUGUCCGGAAUUAUUGGGCGUAAAGCGCUCGUAGGCGGGAGUUUAAGUCCGGGAGUAAAUAAGCAGGCUCAACCUGCUGAUCAUUCCGGAUACUGGACUUCUUGAGGACAGGAGAGGAAAGCGGAAUUCCUAGUGUAGCGGUGAAAUGCGUAGAUAUUAGGAGGAACACCAGUGGCGAAGGCGGCUUUCUGGCCUGAUCCUGACGCUGAGGAGCGAAAGCCAGGGGAGCGAACGGG
rnacentral:rRNA from 1 species